rnacentral:lncRNA from 1 species
GGCGAGCACCUUACCAGAGCGACCAGCUGGGAGCGACACCGUCAAGUCGCUCUGAUCUCCCUAUCAGAGCGACCUUACUAGAGCGACAGGGAAGAGUCGCUCGCGUAUUGAUCACCCGGAGACAACGAAUCCGGAGCGACCUCUCGAAGCGACACAGCGAGGUCGCUCCCGAAUCCUGAGAGUGAAAGAUGAACACGGAUGAAAGCCUUAAAGAUCUUUUCUGAAGCUGAAAAUUUGUG